rnacentral:rRNA from 1 species
GGGGGCACGGGGGGCCUACGGGAGGCAGCACGUGGGGAAUUUUGGACAAUGGGGGCAACCCUGAUCCAGCAAUUCGCCGCGUGUGUGAAGAAGGCCUUCGGGUUGUAAAGCA